AAGCAAAGAGAGACAGGGUGUGUGUUCAUUUCUCCACCGCUUCUACAUCAGAUUUCAUUCUCAACAUGACAUCUGAACACGGCAGAUUAAAGUAAAGCAAGGAUGUCUCAUCUAUUCUCUCUGAUCUUUCUGCUUGUGAUCCCCGGGAUUUGUGGCCAAACAUGGAAAGUGGAGUACUCAAAUCUUAACAAAUGUGCUCUGAAAGGAUCAGAAACAUUUCUAUCAGGCAGCUAUACAUAUCCAAAUAAUCUCAAUGUGACAAAGACAUUUUGGACCAGAAAUCCACAUUAUAGCAAGCAGACACUUGACCUGUAUUAUGAUCCACAUUACAAAGACAGAGUAAUGUACUACCUUGGUAAAUACCAAACCUUUAGUCUCAAACUGAGUAAUGUAGCAGAUGAGGAUGAAGGCAUGUACUGCUUCAGAAUCCUGACAAACGUUGAACAUCAAAGAUAUCUGGGUAUGCCUGGGAUCAAGCUCAAAGUGACAGAGCUCAGAGUGGAGAUUCCUCAUGAGGUCAUAGAGGGAAAUUCAGCAGUUUUGUUUUGUAAGACCACCUGCAGCUUCACAGACAGGACCAAAUAUACCUGGUUCAGAAACAGAAAGUUUUUCUCAGAAUCUGUUAGGACAAAUGAACUCUUGCUGCAGUCAGUCAGCAGUGAUGAUACAGGAAAAUACAGCUGUGCAGUGACACAUGAACAACAUCUCCAAUCUCCUACUGUCACUCUCACUGUCAGAUAUCCCCCAAAGAAAACCUCAGUGUCCAUCAGUGGAUCUGGUGAAAUAAUUUUGGGUAAUUCAGUGACUCUGACCUGCAGCUGUGAUUCAAACCCACCUGCUUGGAUUUACACCUGGUUUCAGGAGAAUGAAACAUCAGCUGUGGGAUCUGGACAGAGUUUCAGUGCACUACAGAGUGGAUUCUUCUACUGUGUGGCUCAGAAUGAAUUUGGAUCUCAGAGAUCAGCUGCUGUACCAGUCACAGUUACAGUCACAGUUGAAGCAAACAGCUCAACUUUGAUAGUAGUCAUUUCAGCUGCUGUUCUUGCUUCUGUGAUACUGAUGGUUGCCAUUGCGCUGUUUAUAAGGAGAAAAAGAAAAAGAGUUUCUCCAUCAGAAGAGCAAAACAACAGAGGAUCACAGCACAAUGGAGAGUUCAUUCUGUCUCAGAUUGAGUCUCCUGAAGGUGCCUAUAUGACCCUUGACCCCAAAUCCAGAUGUGCUGAUUACGACACACUGCAAAAUAUGAAGAGAUCCUGCAGUAACACAGAUGACCCUGAAUCUCAGGAUCCAACAUAUUAUAACAUUGACAAUUAAAUAUUCCACCUCUGUUAUACACUUAUAGGUCUUACUAGAUCUGUAAAUCUUGUAGUUAAGUCUGUCUGCUGUCCAUAAGUGAGCUUUUGUAGAAUGACAGUUUUUACAACUUGUGAUCUUUUAAUUACAAUUGAAUGACUGUUGUGAGAAGGCACAUUGUUUAAUCCACUCGAUAACAAUUUAAUGGACAUGCACUCUUUAAGGAGCGACUGCUUUUGAAUUUGUUCAUUGCUGAUUUUAAUUAUCUACUGUAUAUGCUACACUCUGUACAUGGAUCCUUAUUUUGUUAAAACUAUUCAAAUGAACUGAACUUGAAAGGAGGACUUUGUCCCACAUUUAAGCAGUGAAAUGUUCAACAGGGACUCAAAACAACUCAACGUGAAUGCAGUUACACAUUCUUGCCUGUAGAUGUGGUGUCAGGCUGUUGAGAGCUGAAUCCUGUAGAGAUGAAGAGUGAAGCUGCUGUCCGAGACCUUCAGUUUAUAGAUGAAGUAUCAUAGCAGCAACCACCUAGCAACUACCCAUAACACCCUGACAACCACAUUGAACUCACCAAGAAUAUCACAGAUACUUAGUGGUGGACUUUUCUGACUUGGGCAAAAACCAGCCAACUAUAAAUCAUCCAGAAAACCCUAGAAACCACCUAGCAACACCCUAGCAACUAACUAUAACACACUUGCAAAAGCAGAGCAAUGCAGAGAAAUGUGGUUCUUCCUGGGUGUUUAUUUUUUUGAAGCCACGUUUUAGAAUGUCCCAGUCAAUUAAAUAAAUAAAGUCAAUUUCCCACUUUUCUGGCACUGUUAAACAUCUUAUAUAUUAGUGCUUUUUAUGUUGCUUCCAAAAUAAAAAUAAAAAUGUCACAACACAGCUACUAUUAACCCUUGUGUGACCUUCGGGACAUUUUUGCCUUUUUAAUUUUAGUUUUUUCGAUCAUUUUGGCUGGAUUAAGGCCAACAGCAUAAAUUUUGCCAAAAUUAUGUAUUUUUGGGGGAAUUUUAAUAUUUCAACCUCAGUUCCUAUAAUACAUCUAUAAUACACUUUUACACUCAGGACCUUCAGGACAAAAAUGUCCCCAUUGAAACCCAUUAAAACUGCAAUAUUUGAUCCCAGUGCCAUUAAAGCAUAAAAUCAUGAAUUCUAUGAUAUUAUGCUUUCAUUCCUGAGCCCUGAUUCAAAAUUUACAAUUUUAAUAUCUUCCACCAGAUGGCACCAUUUGUCUCAUGUUUAGCCUAUGGAGCAAAUACAAGCUUUUCCCCUAUUCUCUGUUUGCUGUAUUAUAGAGCACUGCAGGACAACUGAAUAAAUGAUGCA